rnacentral:rRNA from 1 species
UACGGGGGGAGCAAGCGUUGUUCGGAUUUACUGGGCGUAAAGGGCGCGUAGGCGGCCAACUAAGUCGGACGUGAAAUCCCUCGGCUUAACCGGGGAACUGCGUCCGAUACUGGCGGGCUUGAGUUUGGGAGAGGGAUGCGGAAUUCCAGGUGUAGCGGUGAAAUGCGUAGAUAUCUGGAGGAACACCGGUGGCGAAGGCGGCAUCCUGGACCAACACUGACGCUGAGGAGCGAAAGCGUGGGGAGCAAACAGG